UGCGCCUCCUUCCAUAUGACGUAAAGGCCAGAAAAUCAAGGGCGACAAUCGCGAUUUUUCAUAGAGGGCGACAGUAUCGCGCCAUCGCGGCAAUUUGUUUACAUCGUGUACGUGUGAUUUUUCGAGAAAUUUAUCAUUAAAGACAAUUAAACUUGUGUCAUUUCAUCAUCAAUAAGUUAUAUAGGUAAGUUUUACAGGUGACCAUGCUAUUUUUUUCUUCUUAGAAGAUUUUAUUUUACAAGAAACGAACAUCUGAAAGUGGCAAGUGACGUUGUUAAUUUGGGAGAUAAAAAUAUGGCGGGUGUUUUCCCCUUCUGAAAAUAACUGACACAUUUGCAUCCUAUUGGCUAUUUAAAUAUAAAAUGACCAAAAAUAGUAUCUAUGAUGAUAGGAGUCCCUAAAUAUUUGCAUAAAUACCCAUCACUCCGUGUCAAAUUGUAACUGAGGCUGCGAAAAGAGAGCACACAAAUCGACGCCAUUUUUCAACAGAUUAAGGUUUCUGAGCUCACGAAAUCCUAGUAUUAUUACUUUUAAUGAUAACAAUAGGAAUAAGAAGAGCAGGAUUUCUAUAUUGAGGAUUUACAUGUAUGGGACAGAGGACUAUUUGACUUGAUUUUACUUUAAAAAAAACCUUUUUAAUUUUAACAAUAGUUCUCCUUAAAUGUUUAAAAUACUUUUUACAUAUUUUUCAUUUUAACAUUAUUUUUAUGACUUUGUAUUUAUUCAUCAUUUAAUAAACUUUUAUUUCUAAA